AAAUUGAAGAGUUUGAUCAUGGCUCAGAUUGAACGCUGGCGGCAGGCCUAACACAUGCAAGUCGAGCGGUAACACAGAGAGCUUGCUCUCGGGUGACGAGCGGCGGACGGGUGAGUAAUGUCUGGGAAACUGCCUGAUGGAGGGGAUAACUACUGGAAACGGUAGCUAAUACCGCAUAACGUCGCAAGACCAAAGUGGGGGACCUUCGGGCCUCAUGCCAUCAGAUGUGCCCAGAUGGGAUUAGCUAGUAGGUGGGGUAAUGGCUCACCUAGGCGACGAUCCCUAGCUGGUCUGAGAGGAUGACCAGCCACACUGGAACUGAGACACGGUCCAGACUCCUACGGGAGGCAGCAGUGGGGAAUAUUGCACAAUGGGCGCAAGCCUGAUGCAGCCAUGCCGCGUGUAUGAAGAAGGCCUUCGGGUUGUAAAGUACUUUCAGCGAGGAGGAAGGCAUUAAGGUUAAUAACCUUGGUGAUUGACGUUACUCGCAGAAGAAGCACCGGCUAACUCCGUGCCAGCAGCCGCGGUAAUACGGAGGGUGCAAGCGUUAAUCGGAAUUACUGGGCGUAAAGCGCACGCAGGCGGUCUGUCAAGUCGGAUGUGAAAUCCCCGGGCUCAACCUGGGAACUGCAUUCGAAACUGGCAGGCUAGAGUCUUGUAGAGGGGGGUAGAAUUCCAGGUGUAGCGGUGAAAUGCGUAGAGAUCUGGAGGAAUACCGGUGGCGAAGGCGGCCCCCUGGACAAAGACUGACGCUCAGGUGCGAAAGCGUGGGGAGCAAACAGGAUUAGAUACCCUGGUAGUCCACGCCGUAAACGAUGUCGACUUGGAGGUUGUGCCCUUGAGGCGUGGCUUCCGGAGCUAACGCGUUAAGUCGACCGCCUGGGGAGUACGGCCGCAAGGUUAAAACUCAAAUGAAUUGACGGGGGCCCGCACAAGCGGUGGAGCAUGUGGUUUAAUUCGAUGCAACGCGAAGAACCUUACCUACUCUUGACAUCCAGAGAACUUAGCAGAGAUGCUUUGGUGCCUUCGGGAACUCUGAGACAGGUGCUGCAUGGCUGUCGUCAGCUCGUGUUGUGAAAUGUUGGGUUAAGUCCCGCAACGAGCGCAACCCUUAUCCUUUGUUGCCAGCGAUUCGGUCGGGAACUCAAAGGAGACUGCCAGUGAUAAACUGGAGGAAGGUGGGGAUGACGUCAAGUCAUCAUGGCCCUUACGAGUAGGGCUACACACGUGCUACAAUGGCAUAUACAAAGAGAAGCGACCUCGCGAGAGCAAGCGGACCUCAUAAAGUAUGUCGUAGUCCGGAUUGGAGUCUGCAACUCGACUCCAUGAAGUCGGAAUCGCUAGUAAUCGUAGAUCAGAAUGCUACGGUGAAUACGUUCCCGGGCCUUGUACACACCGCCCGUCACACCAUGGGAGUGGGUUGCAAAAGAAGUAGGUAGCUUAACCUUCGGGAGGGCGCUUACCACUUUGUGAUUCAUGACUGGGGUGAAGUCGUAACAAGGUAACCGUAGGGGAACCUGCGGUUGGAUCACCUCCUUACCUUAAAGAA
rnacentral:rRNA from 1 species